UCUUCUUUUUUGGUGCAAACAUGGGAAUGGGUCUUCUCACCUCUUCUUCCUUUCUUUUUCCCUAACAUCACACACACAGACACAACUCCUUCUCCUCCAACCUCUCCUCCACCACUCCUCAUCCCACCUCCGCCACCUACACAGUGCCACCACCUCCACAACGUCGACACAUCCACCUCCUCCGCCACCACCUCCACUUCCUCCGCCUCCGCCACCACCACCUCCACAGCCCCCAUCGUCUCGGCCACCCUCCACAGCCGCCGUCACCUCUCUCCCUCCCCACAACCACCGUCAUCUCCGCCAGCCUCCACAGCCAUCGUCACCGUCAUCUCCGCCAGCCUCCACAGCCAUCGGUUCCGUGCGAGACUCCGAUUAACGAUCAAGGCUUGUAAGUCUUAGAUCUAUGUAGAUUGACCACCCUAGACAAGUCAGGUGGUUGGACGGUUGGUUUUGACGGUUGUUCCGAUCGUAUCCUUGGUGAGCUUUAUGAUUGUUGUUCUUAACGGUUUGUGCUGUGAGGUUGAUUCACCUCAGACCAUUUGUUCAUUUCGAGGGUUGGUUCACCAGAGAAAUUGAAACUAAUAGAGUAUAUAUCUGAUUAUAAUAUGUUUCGUUAUUCCAAAAAUUGUUUUUUUUUUUGUUUAAUGUUAUGAAUUCUUAAAGAAUUCUGAUUGUAAUAUGUUAAUUGUUAAAGAAUUCUGAUUAUUUCAAUAUAGAUGUUAAAAAAACAAA